rnacentral:tmRNA from 1 species
GGGGGCGACAUGGCUUCGACAUGGGUCGCGAAACCUUCGGUGCAUGUAGAGCAUGUGACUUGUCUCUUAAAACCAGUUACAAAAGUUAUAGUUGCAAACGACGAUAACUACGCACUAGCAGCUUAGACUGUUAGGGUCUUGCCCGGGUUGUUCAUGGCCUUGGAUUUUAGGCCUCAAAUCACAUGAAAUCGCUCGCACCUUGUGUCGAUUAAGGGGCUGCUAAAACACAAUUCGACUCACCCCGAAACGAGUGCGUUUGUCCAGUUGCGAGGGGUUAAAUUGAAGACAAACUAAACAUGUAGAUCCGAUGAGCGGAGGGCUUGUGGACGCGGGUUCGAUCCCCGCCGCCUCCACCA